rnacentral:rRNA from 1 species
UACGUAUGGAGCAAGCGUUAUCCGGAUUUACUGGGUGUAAAGGGAGUGUAGGUGGCCAGGCAAGUCAGAAGUGAAAGCCCGGGGCUCAACCCCGGGACUGCUUUUGAAACUGCAGGGCUAGAGUGCAGGAGGGGCAAGUGGAAUUCCUAGUGUAGCGGUGAAAUGCGUAGAUAUUAGGAGGAAUACCAGUGGCGAAGGCGGCUUGCUGGACUGUAACUGACACUGAGGCUCGAAAGCGUGGGGAGCAAACAGG